ensembl:lncRNA
GAGUGUCCUGGUGCCUGCUUUCAGCUUUGAGUUCUCUGUGGCAGCCUCCGGAGAGGCUUCUAGGUCAGGUCUCUGGCAUUACAGAGGGAGUGGACUGUGCAGGCUGCCCUCACUCUAACCCUCACCUGCUCUGUAACCAGAUCGAGGCGCUUGGCGUCUAUGUCUUGAGAGUUUUCCCCUCAGUUGUAAAGCAGAACUUGAAUACCUGUCUGGCAGGGCGGUGGUUCGGACUAAAUGAGGUGGACCUGGCACAAACCUGCUUCCCAGUCUUGGUGAUGCUGUUGCGCUUACCCACAGGCUCUGGCCUGACAUCCGGGUUAAAUGGUCCCAAGUUGGUUCCCACUUCGACUUCAUCUGGUUUGUGGGGUAGGGACAUCUCCCACCUGGCCUUCAGCCCCCUUAUCAAGCACAGGACCCCGCUGCUGGGGAGUGGUGCGGCUCUAGUACAGCGCGCAGGCUUUCGUUGGAGAUUCUUCAUCAGGGCUGGGCUAGGCCCUUGAAUCUAUUUUUCCUAAAACAGUGAUUUCCUAAAGCGAGUGACUCUUGUACAGAUGGUCCGCGAACCCCAUGGGCCUUCUGCUUUAAUCUAAGGACAGUAACCAUAAAUACCCACCCAGGGGGCAUCUGAAACACAGAACCCAGCUCCCACGAACAUGUUUAUUUUGCAGUUAAUCCAGGCUAAGGGAUUUUAUCUGAAAUGGUUGAUAAGAAACACAAGUGCAAAUUUAAGCUGCUCUCUGGCACCUGCUCAAAAAAGAAAAACUCAAAGUACAAGUGGGCCAAGUCACCUCCUUGCCAGUCAAACACUUUGAACGCUCCUCUGUGAGUCCCCCUAACAGGAGGAAAGACCUUCCUUGCCCUCGUCCCGCCUGGCAGCAGCUCACCCCACUUAGCUUCUGGACUGCCACUUAGUUGUUUAUUCUAUUUAAUUGUUUUUAGACAGAGUCUUGCUCUGUCACCAGGGUGGAGUGCAGUGGUGCAAUCUCGGCUCACUGCAACCUCCGCCUCCCAGGUUCAAGUGAUUCUUCUGCCUCAGCCUCCCGAGUAGCUGGGACUACAGGCGCCCGCCACCACACCCAGCUAAUUUUUGUAUUUUUAGUAGAGAUGGGGUUUUACCAUGUUAGCCAGGAUGGUCCUGAACUCCUGGGCUCAAGCCAUCCGCCCUCCUUGGCUCCCAAAGUGCUGGGAUUACAGGCGUGAGCCAGCGCGCCUGGCCGCAUUUGCAAUUUCUCUUAGAAGACCUAUCCAGUACUUCUUGGCAUUUGAUUUUUAGCCAACAAAACUGACCCAGUUUCAUGCCAGAGAUGGGGCUUCUUGUCCAUACUUCCUCUGAGGAAGGCCGUGGAGCACCCUGGCUGGAAGGCAGGGACAGUGGAUCUCCCAUCAUAGGCUGCCAGCCGGUCGGAUUCCUGUGUGUGCAUCCCCAUUGCUCUGCCUCAGCAUCACUCUCUACUUUUCUCCUGGGGAAAGAAGGAGGAGCAAUUGGAUGGAGGGUGUAUCAACCCCCAAACUUCUGCCGUUUUCAAAAUGUCUCCCAUGGGAAGUUAGUAUUCUAAAAAAAAAAAAAAAA